UUUUACGAACUUUGCAAUUUUUUCGAAAAAAUUUGUGUGGCGCCAGGCCGUUACUGCUACGUUAUGGCCAUUAUAGGCCUGUUUUCAUUACUCAGGAUUGUGACUAUGAUCGCGAUUUGAAACUAUGCUCUAGUCCCUACUCUCUCAAGCUUCCUUGCCAUAUUCACUACUUCACUCUCUCAUUCUCUAUCUUCACUUUUGACUUACCAUAUAUCAUUAUAUCUCAUCAAGUUUAGAUCUAUUGAGUUUUGUCUCAUCAAAUUUUAAAUUUUUGUUGAAGAAUUUGUAAACUAAAUUUUAGUUCAUUAGUUUCAAUUAUCUGGGUUUGUCAUUGAUUCAUUGUUCUACCAGGAUUUUCAAAUUGUAGUUGGUUCAAGCAUAGAUCUAUGAUGAUUUUUGAAUAAUUGGAUGUUUGAAUGUUUGUGUAUUCAUAUUUUUUUUCUAAUAUUAAGGUAUAUAUAUUUUGUUAUUUUUUAAAUGUGUUUCAGCAUUAAACAAGUUAAACGUGUCAAAUAGGUUAAACCUAUUGUGUCAUAUGAGAUUUAUAAUGACCCAUUUAAUUAAAAGGGUUAAGCAUAUUGUAUCAUGUUGUCUGACAUGUUAAAUGACCAAUUUAUUAAAAUAGGUUAUACGAGUUGUGUCGUGUAACUUGUGUCAUAAACAUAUUUGUGUUAAGGUUGAGCAUUUUGACACGAUUAAUUAAACAUGUCAUUUUGGAGUUAGCCACUUUUGUAUUACAUGUGUAAGUUGACACGACCUGUUUAUGACCUGCGAACACGAAUUGCUAACCCUAGUCUUGGCCAUUUCUCUUCUUCCAUUCUUCUUCCUUCUUAUUUGUUCUUUGCUUGAUUGAUUUACUGUUUAUUGCAUGGUUGUGCUGGCCCUUUUCUCUAUCAUACACAUUUGAAUAUUUAGGGGUCAUGUAGUAAUGUUGUGUGAAGAGUUAGGUUGCAACUCAAUUGCAUUCUGGUAGUUGCUAUUUUUCUUAUCUUUAGAUGUGGGUGUAGUUUCUAACUGCAAUUGUCUUGUGAUUUCUCUACUUUUUUGACUCUAUACAUUUGGAAAUCAUGAGCCAAAUUGCUUCAAUUUAUUGCUCUGUAUGUGAGUAUGCAUUUGCAUAUGUAGUAUAUACACCGAAAAUUGGUCCAUGCACCAUAUGGCUGUGUUUACAUGUACAUAUAUAAAUAUUUACUCUUUCUACACUCCUUUAUAUUAUAUUUGGAUGUUUUAAUAGACUUAUUUUUAAUAUCUUUGUCCUAUUGUUUGACAUGGCUUCCUCUCGUCUUUUUAUCAAGUUCAAUAUCUUUCAAAAGAGUCUCUUGUUUUCUUCUUGCAAGAUGGGAUUUGGAUGUUGAGAUAGAGGUUUAUAGGUUCAUAUUGAGUCUUUGUUGGGUCUACUCACAAUGUCUUUUUCUUUUUUUUUUCUUUUUCUUUUUUUACCUCCAUUAAACCUGAUGAUGCUUGUACAAUACCCAAGUUCAAUGGCAUACUCUUUGUGAUGUAGCAGUACCUUUUGAAUGAUCUAAGAAAAAGAACAAGGUAAAAGAAAAGUAGAGAAAAUGGAUUGAAUCUAACUUCACGCUAAAAGCUAGCUCAACGGAGAGGUUUGCCUAAAUUUUAUAUAUAGCACAAACACCUUAUCCCAAACUAAUGUGGGACAACAGGAGCAAUAUCCUCGCAUCCCAUUCCGUGGGAGCAUUAUGCUAAACAUAAUUCAAAAUCUCCUAAUAAUACAAAGGCAUUUCAUGGUUGUUCCACAAUCAAAUGACACUUCUCUUAAUUCUAAAUAUUAAUUCAUUAUCUACUAAACUUUGCUUAUAUAUCUCUGUAAUGUGCUACUGAUCUCAUCACUCGUUUAUUGUUUUCCUUUAUUCAUAACCUCUAACAGUCUAUCUCUCUUUCUAAACUUGCUAGUAAGCAUGAAUUAUAUCAGAAUAAGAAUAAGUAUUUAUAUAAUAAAAUCAAAUUGAAUCACAAUGAGGAAUCAAACUAUCAGACUAUAACAAUGAUAUCAGAAGUAAAUCACAGAUUUCAAGGGAUCAAAAAUCAAUUGAAAAGCAAAUUCAUUCUAUACAUUAUAAAUACCACUCACUUGAUACAAAACACAAAACAUGUUGGAAAAGAAGCACUAGUUAGCUAAGAUACUCCUGGGACCUAUAGACAAUUAUAAUUGGAGAUACAAGUUUAUAAACAAAGCUAGAAUACUAGAAUGCCAGUAAUAUGCCCAAAUAUAUAAAUUAAAUUUUCUAAAAAAAAAUUCUAAAGAAAAUUCGACAACAAUCUGAAUUAGACCGAACAUUUCCCCAAAUUUUACAAUGCUCAAAAGAGCCUCAACAAUAGCACCGCUACUCAGUUUAGUAAAAUGCCCAUCUGGAGCCUGCAACAAUUAUAUAUAAAUAACUUACCUCUAUCCUUUCUCUAUUUCAUACUUUUCCUUCCAUAUUUCUUUAAACAAAAGUUCUAGUUUAUAUCAAAUCAACUCUUCCAAACUAUAGUAGUAACAUCUUGAUUCUCAAUUCUAUAUUCAACAUCAAACUGGUAUUCAACUUCUCCUCAAGUUGUUAAUUCCUGUUUAAAAUUUCCUUUUCUUAAAAAUUUAUAGACAUAUAGCUUGAUUUGACAGUGGCAAGAAUAACAAUUUAUCUCUUUAAAUAUCCUUCCAUAUAAUUAAAUUCUCACUCCAUACAAUAAUGCCAACACAAUAAUACUUCAUUUACUCACUAACAAUUUAAUAUUUAUAGCCAAUUCAUCCUUUACAAUUAGAAUUUUAAGAGCAUAACUCAAAUUCCUUAUAAUUUAUUCACUUAUAAAAAAUAAAAAUCUUAGCAUCCAUAUAUUUGAGCUCAUUGCCACAACCAUUAUCUCAACUAGGUAUAUCCCAUAAAUAAAAUUAUUGCAAAAACUAUAACUUAUUACUAAGAUUUUAUCAUUUACUUCUCUUAUUGGGCAUCACCCCUAAUUUAUUCUUGUUUUAUCCCACACUUUAGCUAUUAAUUUCUUUAUAGGCAAUGUUACAUAUUUUCUAUGUCCAUAAUAUCUUCCAGACAUAUAGAAUUCAUAUUAAUUAGAACUAUAAAUUAACAAUCAAUCAAAUAAAACAAUCCAAAGUUACUUGUAUUGAACAUGAAAAAUACUUAUCAAUAUACAAAAAGGAUCUCUAGCAACUUUAAACAUUCAUAAGCAUGAUUUAGCCUAAAUAUUUGUAAAAUAUUAAUACAAAAUUCAUUUAAGGGAUCCUAAUCCAUAUAUAAACAUCAUUUAUAACCAAUAUAAAUCACAACUACACAAUUUAAAACCAUAAUUUACAAAGUUCCAUAUGAAAAGUAAGCAAUUUUCAUGAAAAUAAUUUAUAGAGCCCAAUUUACUUAAAAUUUCACCACACUCCAAGAAUUAAAGUUGCUAAGGA
rnacentral:misc_RNA from 1 species